rnacentral:rRNA from 1 species
UACGAACCGUCCAAACGUUAUUCGGAAUUACUGGGUUUAAAGGGUACGUAGGCGGCGCUGUUAGUCGGGUGUGAAAUCCCUCGGCUCAACCGAGGAAUUGCGCCCGAUACUGCAGUGCUUGAGGGAGACAGAGGUAAGCGGAACUGAUGGUGGAGCGGUGAAAUGCGUUGAUAUCAUCAGGAACACCGGUGGCGAAAGCGGCUUACUGGGUCUCUUCUGACGCUGAGGUACGAAAGCUAGGGGAGCGAAGGGG